rnacentral:misc_RNA from 1 species
GAUGAAGAACGCAGCGAAAUGCGAUAAGUAAAGUGAAUUGCAGAAUUCAGUGAAUCAUCGAAUCUUUGAACGCACAUUGCGCCCAUUAGUAUUCUAGUGGGCAUGCCUGUUCGAGCGUCAUUAAGUCCACUUAAGCCCUGCUUAGUGUUGGGAGACUGCUCCAGCGGUGCUACCCUGUAGCUACCCUGCAGCUCCUCAAAGACAGCGGCGGAGUUGUGGUAUCCUCUGAGCUUAGUAACUUGUUCUAGCUUUCGAGUACACCACUUCCCCUGCCGUAAAACCCUUAAUUUUUAAUGGUUGACCUCGGAUCAGGUAGGAAUACCCGCUGAACUUAAGCAUAUCAAUAAGCGGAGGA